ensembl:lncRNA
UAUGGCUUUUCUGUUUUGUUCUAUCAAAUAACUUACAAUGUAAAUAUUUAUCAAUUUUUGCUUAUAAAAUGCAAUAUAUCUGAAGCCAUAAAAUCUUUGUUUCCCACAGAUUACUCCAGAUUCUUAAAGGUGAGAGGUGAGGUGACGCACGUCUGGCUGGCUGUGCGCGCGCACGCACGUACACACAAAGCAUCUCCUGUAGCUUUAAGCUGCGCUCACUCACUCACUCAGCCAGGGAGGGAUAGAGAGAGAAGGAGAAGCAGGAGGAGGAGUGUGAACAUUGCGGAGUUCUCGGGGAUUCCGAGAAUAUACAGUUCAGACUCAGACCCGACAGUCGGUGCUGGAGCCCGACGAGUUUUUGGACUCUACUUCCAUUUGGCGCGGCGCACGUCUGCGCGCAGGAAACGCUCAAGCUCGGUUAGCGGAAUCAGCUCCUCGAGGGAAAUUGCCUUUCAGCCACUGAUGAUGGUUUGACCUUCCUGCUCAUGGUGUCUGGGUGAGCAAAGAAAGACGCCCUGCCAUGAUAAAGCUUCCUGUCUGCCGCUGUUCCCUUCACCACUGGCUAGUGAAAUCACUUAAAAUGCUGUUGGGUGUGAAUGUUUGACAUUGUCAGAGAUAAUGGAUAAUCACUUGCAGACCGCUGGAGGGAGAGAGAUGGAGGGGAUAAGAGAGAGAGGGAGAGAGAAAACAUAUUUUGUAUUUCUUGUGCAAAAGGUCAAGUGUGGGAAAGGCGAAUGGAGGGUAUGCUGUGAGAUCGCACCUUAGACCUGUAUUUCCUGUCCCUUGUAUGCCUGCUUCCUCUCAAAAUAAGGUUUUAGGAAAUACAGAUCUUGUUUGCUGGAAUUGUUGAGUCGAAGAGACUCAUGUUGUUUUGGACCCCAAUUUCAGGAUUGAAACUCAGAAGAAAGAAAGUCAUAUAGGUUUAAAGUGACAUGAGGGUAAGUAAAUGAUAACUGAAUUUAAAUUUUUGGCUUUACUAUCCCUUAAAGGUUUCCUUUUUUUUAUGUACGAGAUCUAAACUAGCAUGGUCCGAUUGUAGCCCAGUAUUGAUUUGUCUUGAAUGAUGUGUUUACUUCAUUGUUCUUAUGGUCCAGUUUUUCAGCCUGUCUUUUAAUCUUCUUUCUCCACCUGUCCCAAGUUUGAACUUUUAUUUGUAGGGUAGCAGCACCUCCUUUGGCGGGAAAUUAAUCUUAAUCUGCCACAUUAAGAUUAGCGUGAGACGUCAGAUGGCCCUGUUCUAGCAGGUUGUCCUCUUUGUUGUUAAAUUUAGGUCAGUGGCCCAGGCUGAUCCUGUAACUGAGACUGAAUUAGUUAAUGAAUUAGUUUUCCUAUUUGCUGUCCUUGCAGUCGUAACCUGUUGCACCCGACCUUUGCAACUUAAUGCAGUUUGCAUCAAAUUUAAAUGCGUGUGACCUUGUGCUGAUUCUUGCAGGAUUUUCCUGCAAAGUCAGGAGUGUUUAUGGAAGCAGUUCUG